AGAGAUAAACUAACUUCAGUUAUAACCUCAAAUUGAAUCAAGUAUCAAUUUCACGAUUAGUCUGUUUGUGGGUAAACAGUUACAAGGUGUGUUAUAAAUAUUGUGUACGUUUUUAUGUUUAUUUUAAUUAUAUUUUAUCAAUUAGACUUUAUGUGGAUAAUUAAAGACUUCUAUGCAUGUAGGUAAAAACCGAGUUACAUUUCUCUGUUUUUACCCACCUACUUCACUACCAAAAAGUGUUUCUUAAUUUGUCAGAAAUUUAGCGAUUUGUGUCCGUUAUUUCGAGAAGAAAUCCAGUCAGGAUGACUGUAAUCCACUUCAUCUAGCAGCGAGAUAAAGACAAAUUACUUCCACUGUUGAAAAUUCUCAAGAAUGAGGCUAAAAGUACCUGCUGCUUAGUGUAUCUGUAUCUGAAGAAAGAACGGAAUACAGUUAGGAGGAUUCGAAGGAAACGCAUCACGUGGCGCUGAUCACGCAACCCAAGGUUAACUAAUUGGGAGCUUUUUAGAAAGGAGCUUCCUGGUCGCUUUGUGAAUAUGCCAGCAAUCCUUAACCUUGCUUCCGGACAUGGAGAUUGCUCAAAAUCCCUAGUGGAAUCGAAACACCGAAAAGUAACACGUAGGUUGUUGCAUUGAACUAAGCUAUCGAAACUUGAUGCUUACCAGGAGUAUGUGCGACGACGUCCAAAGGCAGUAUAAAAAAAUCUCAGGGAUUCCAACAGAUUGAAAUGUAAGAGGUUUUGUGAUGGUAAUACAAAGACAUUUCCGGCGGCAUCAACAUGCAAGGAGAGCUAAGUACUUAUGUUCAAAUAUUAAUGUUCAAAUAUUAAUGUUCAAAUAUCAAUGUUCAAAUAUUAAUGUUCAAAUAUCAAUGUUCAAAUAUUAAUGUUCAAAUAUCAAUGUUCAAAUAUUAAGGAUCAAAUAUCAAUGUUCAAAUAUUGAUUCAACUUACCAAACUGAGAAGAAUUAUUUAAAAUAACGGAAAUAAGGAGGUGUUUUCAAGUAAAAUGUGACACACUGUAUAUGUUUGUAUGCUCAAGAAGAGGUCGUCGUAGUGAAAGUUGCAAGUUUCGGUUUUAAGUAGAAACUAUGAAAAUCGUGAAAACCAAACCUUACAAUGAUCCGAUUGGUGUUAAUUUGAUUAUGGAAAUAGAAAUUGUUAUUGUUUCAAGCUCUAAUUAGUGUCCAAAUAAUUAACUUUCCUUAUAAGCGGGAUAUAAAAUCAAAAAGUUCGCAUGAUUUAACUAUAUUAGAUGACUGUUGUAUACAUUAGUAUAAUAUUAUUACUAAUAUUUAUUUUUAUGAACAUUACAUUUGUAAUGACAAAGUUUUUGCAACUAAUUAUUACAAUGUAAUAUUACCAAGUUUAAUUUACAUUUUUAUAUCUAGAUGUUCACAAUUUACUUUUUGAACUUUGUCAUCAUCAACAUCUAUUAAUCAAAUCAUUCUUUAAGGCCAAUUGUUCUAAAAUUUCAUUUUUUGGAAAGAAAUUUCAUGUAAAACAAUCAAUGAAGUAGUUUCAACAAUUUUGAUAAUUGCUUUGGCUUUGAAUUUUGUUGUUUUUUACUGUCUCGCUUUUUGUUUUAUUAAUAAUCUAUUGGGAACAACAGGUACACAGCCUUACGCCUUCUGACGGCCCAGGUUAUCGCUAAAGAAGUUUCGUCAAUUUUGAUAAUUGCUUUGGCUUUGAAUUUUGUUGUUUUUUACUGUCUCCCUUUUUGUUUUAUUAAUAAUUUAUUGGAAACAACGGGUACACAGCCUCACGCCUUCUGACGGCCCAGGUUAUCGUUAAAGAAGUUUCGUCAAUUUUGAGAAUUGCUUUGGUUUUUAAUUUUCUUGUUUUUUACUGUUUUUUAUGAACCACUUUUAAUGAAAAGAUUUAUCAAACGACCUCUUUCUUCAGUGAAAAAGUUUCGACAAUUUGAUAAUUGUCUCGCUUUUUGUUUUAUUAAUAAUCUAUUGGAAACAACGGGUACACAGCCUCACGCCUUCUGACGGCCCAGGUUAUCGUUGAAGAAGUUUCGUCAAUUUUGAGAAUUGCUUUGGUUUUUAAUUUUCUUGUUUUUUACUGUUUUUUAUGAACCACUUUUAAUGAAAAGAUUUAUCAAACGACCUCUUUCUUCAGUGAAAAAGUUUCAACAAUUUGAUAAUUGUCUCGCUUUUUGUUUUAUUAAUAAUCUAUUGGAAACAACGGGUACACAGCCUCACGCCUUCUGACGGCCCAGGUUAUCGUUGAAGAAGUUUCGUCAAUUUUGAGAAUUGCUUUGGUUUUUGAUUUUCUUGUUUUUUGCUGUUUUUUAUGAGUCACUUUUAAUGAAAAGAUUUAUCAAACGACCUCUUUCUUCAGUGAAAAAGUUUCAACAAUUUGAUAAUUGUCUCGCUUUUUGUUUUAUUAAUAAUCUAUUAGGAACAACGGGUACACAGCUUCACGUCAACUAACGGCCUCGUUCUUCAGUGAACAAGUUUUUAUAUUUUUCUUUGUUUUACUGUCAUAACUUAAUGUAGUGGGAUCGUAAUUGCCUCCAUCUAUUGAGUAAUCGCGUAUAUAUCCGCAAGAAGUUGAUUGUAACUAGAUAUAGAAAAUUCUACAAUGCUCUAGAAUGUAGCAAAGGCAUAUAUGAGGCAAGAUAUAUGUGAUAAUUAUAUUGUCAUACAAUUUUAAGUGAGGAAUUAAAUUUUUAUCAUUAUAUUAUCAACGAAUCUUUACCUGAAAACAGUACGAUAUUAAAGGUUGUUUCUAAUUAAUUAUUCUCGUAAAAUCUCUGUUUAAAAUAUUACUACUACUAGUUAAAUACCAUCAUCUAACUACGAGCUUCAAUAUCUGAACUGAUUUGUUUCAAUUCGUCCAAAGUUUAAUCCAAUUUAGCUACAUUAUAUUUGGAUAUUUGAUUAUGAAAUUUUCAACUAUACAUGAAGCAAAAAUUAAAUGCCGACUUUAGUGUACUAACUGACGUAGUACAACAAUCUAAUAUAGUAUUUAAAUAUUUCACAGUUAACGAUAAAUAAAAAUAAAUAUCAAUUGAUUCAAACCUACAAAAAAAUAAAUAAAUAUAACAUUUUUACGGCCACGUAAAUGUUAUUAAUUUCACUUCAAUAGGUACAAAGUCGGUACUUUCUAAAGUGCAACUAAGAAAUCCGGUACACGUUGCUGAUUGCAUUAGUGUGUGUAUAUAUUUGCACAUCUGCAAUAACGUAUUGACUUUUAACAUUAAAAUUAUACAUCCAAAUCUUCCUUUCACUUAUAGGAUUAAGAGUGUGAUUACAAAGGUCACAGGAUUAAUAUGAUGCCUUCAGGAUAUAAUACUUUUAAAUAUUCACAUCCAAGAACGCUGUACUAAUAGUGAUAUAUAUAAAUAAAUAAAUAUGUUUAUAAUAAAAAA